rnacentral:tRNA from 1 species
GCCGGGGUGGAGCAGCUUGGUAGCUCGUCGGGCUCAUAACCCGAAGGUCGUCGGUUCAAAUCCGGCCCCCGCAACCA